UACGUAGGGUGCAAGCGUUGUCCGGAAUUAUUGGGCGUAAAGAGCGUGUAGGCGGCCUGACAAGUCUGCUGUGAAAACUCGAGGCUCAACCUCGAGAUGUCGGCGGAAACCAUCUGGCUAGAGUCCGGAAGAGGAGAGUGGAAUUCCUGGUGUAGCGGUGAAAUGCGCAGAUAUCAGGAAGAACACCCGUGGCGAAGGCGGCUCUCUGGGACGGUACUGACGCUGAGACGCGAAAGCGUGGGGAGCGAACAGG
rnacentral:rRNA from 1 species